AUGCCAAUGCCAAUGCGCUCUGCCGCCGACAUGCGCGCGACCUCCUCUUCUUCUACGCUACGGCCUCAUCAUACUUCUCUUUCUUCCUCAUCCUCCUCCUCCUCCUCCGCUGCACCGUCGUCUUCGUCUUCCUCCUCCUCCUCUGCUCCGACGCCGUCUACGCACUCUAUUCUCUACUAUGUCCUCGAUGAACUCGCCGCAGGAGGAGGCCUCUGUCAAAACAGUGAGAAUGGUGAUAAGGGGGAGAGUGCAAGGUGUGUUCUAUCGGAAUUGGACGAUUGAUAAUGCAAAGGGGAUGGAUCUGUGGAGGCGUUGUUUCCGGGAGAAGGUUGAGGAGAUGGAGCAGCGGUGUAGGAGAGGUGAGGUCCGCCUGAUGCUAUGGUGACUGGAAUUCAGGCAUUUCCGAGCACGGAUGAUCCUGGGAAUGAAUUCGAGCGGAAGCCUACCGUGUGAGUGAAUGAAUCAGCGAUUCUGAUCAGAGGAGCAGCUAAAUGCUACAACAUGACUCUUUGUGAGGAACAUCUUAAUGUGCUCCUACCUGCAAAGCCACCCUUUCAUCCUCACAUGUUUCAAACUUGUGCUGUUGUUGGAAAUUCGAGGGAUCUUCUGAAGACAGAAUUUGGAAAGGAAAUCGACGGGCAUGAUGCACUUAUAAGAGACAAUGAGGCCCCUGUCAAUGAGAAAUAUGCCAAGUAUGUUGGUUUGAAGAGAGACUUCUGCCUUGUGGUUAGGGGUGCUGCUCGUAACAUGAUCAAGAUUCUCAAUGGAUCAGCAGAGUGAGUGGGCAUUGCUGAGGAGGGGUGGGGGUAUGUAUAUGCAUCACUCAGUCCGUAGGGGAAAUAUGUGCUGCAAUGCUCUCUGCUCUCUGCCUGCUCAAUUCGAUACAAAGGUAUUCCUGGGAAAAGCUUCAGCAUAUCGGCGGAUUUAAAGAAAAAAGCUUCAGCAUAUUGGUGGAUUCAUAUUUCAAGUGAAAGAAAUUGAGAGAGAGAAAACCGACCGAACCACUUACAACGUCCGUCCGCCCGUCAUCUACCAUUCCUCAUUUGGUUCCUCUUCGACACCACAUCAUCAAGCUCAAGAGAACUGCCUGGCUCAGAUCAGCCGAGAGUGAAAUCGGUUGUCGCAGCUCUCUCCCCCUCCUCUUGAUCGAUUGAUUUAUCGUUUUCUUCUACGGAAGUUAUCCAACUCUCAACACUUUAAUUCUGCAGAUUUAUUUGGAAGUGUAAAACUUGAGGAGAAGAAGAAAGACGAAGCCCUCACAGAGACAGAGAGGAGGAGGAGGAAGAAGAGAGGAGAAGACGAGGAAGAUGGAGAAACAAGUCAAGCCGGAGACGAGGACUCGACGACUCGCUUAGUAUUAUAGAUUUUAAUUAUAUUAUGGAGAAGAUCAUACACUUAAAAAUAAAAAUAUUAGUUCAAUCCAAUCCAUGUUGGAUUUUAUCAUUAGGACCCGACCCGACCCGCUUUAAUACAUUCUUGAACCCGUUUGAGAUUUAAAAUUGGAUCCUUUUCAAAAUCUCAUGCAAUUAGCUUAUAGAUUUUAGUUAAUUUAAUUACUUGUUAUCUAA